GAGUUUGAUCCUGGCUCAGAUGACGCUAGCGGCAGNNUACACAUGCAAGUCGAACGGUACAGCAGAGCUGCUCUGGCUGACGAGUGGCGCACGGGUGCGUAACGCGUAUACAAUCUGCCUAUUACUGGGGUAUAGCCCGAAGAAAUUUGGACUAACCCCCCAUAGUAUUGAGAUAAGGCAUCUUAUUUCAAUUAAAACCACGGUGGUAAUAGAUGAGUAUGCGUCCUAUUAGUUUGUUGGUAAGGUAACGGCUUACCAAGACUUCGAUAGGUAGGGGUCCUGAGAGGGAGAUCCCCCACACUGGUACUGAGACACGGACCAGACUCCUACGGGAGGCAGCAGUGAGGAAUAUUGGACAAUGGAGGCAACUCUGAUCCAGCCAUGCCGCGCGCAGGAAGACUGCCCUAUGGGUUGUAAACUGCUUUUAUAGAGGAAGAAACCUCCCUUCGUGAAGGGAAUUGACGGUACUCUACGAAUAAGGAUCGGCUAACUCCGUGCCAGCAGCCGCGGUAAUACGGAGGAUCCAAGCGUUAUCCGGAAUCAUUGGGUUUAAAGGGUCCGUAGGCGGACUAAUAAGUCAGUGGUGAAAGUCUGCAGCUCAACUGUAGAAUUGCCAUUGAUACUGUUAGUCUUGAGUCAUUAUGAAGUGGUUAGAAUGAGUGGUGUAGCGGUGAAAUGCAUAGAUAUCACUCAGAAUACCGAUUGCGAAGGCAGAUCACUAAUAAUGUACUGACGCUGAUGGACGAAAGCGUAGGUAGCGAACAGGAUUAGAUACCCUGGUAGUCUACGCUGUAAACGAUGGUUACUAGCUGUUUGGUCGAUUGAGACUGAGUGGCUAAGCGAAAGUGAUAAGUAACCCACCUGGGGAGUACGUUCGCAAGAAUGAAACUCAAAGGAAUUGACGG
rnacentral:rRNA from 1 species